UCCCAAAUGGUGAAAAUGGUAUUCCCACUGUAUUUUACAAAAAAGAGCAGAAAAAGAAAUAAACCACAUGAGGUGUGAGAAAUACAUAGUACAAUUCACUGAAUGUCAGCAAUAUAAAAGAAUUUGAAUUGGUUCUGGAACACCAACCCGAGGCACCCCUGCAAGUGUCCCGCGGCACCCCAAGGAGCCACGACACACCGUUUGGGAACCACUGUCCUAAAUGAUCCUUUAUACACCAUUGUUACAUCAGAGUUUCCAUAUCCUGAUGUGGAGAAGCAAGGUGGGUCAAAUUCGGCUGCUAGAUAACACUGGGCCCGAAUACUGAGGGGGACGUGGCCAAAUCCAAGAAGGCUCGGCCACAACUCUAAAAAACUGGCGAUUGCACAAGGGGCAUCAGCAGUUGCACGGGGUAUAUUUCUUCUUUCAACAACAACUGACUUGUGCCAGGCCCCCGCUGGGCCUCUCCAACAAGCUUGGGCCAGGAUAAUUAGUACCCCCCCCCCGCAUCUUGGACCCACCAAUGGGGGAUCUGCUUUGCAAGAGCUCCCACAAUGCUCAUGGGUGACCGACGGCUGCGCAUGCACAUAUUACUGGCAGCGUUAGGUUGUCAGUGAGGGAGAGGAAACCUCCGCAGCAGCAGGAUUUUUGCCAGUCGCAGCCCAAGUCAAUGAAUUAAGACCUAAAAUGUGUUCUAUAUUGCUGCAAUAUGGAACUAACUCAUUGUCCUGCCAAUGAUACACAUAACUGUACACGUUUUCUUUUCUCCCUUAAUUGAUCUGCACAUAGGGCAAUUUUAAUUCAUUAGUUAUAGUGGCCCACACAAUAAAAUAGUGGUUUCCUGUAUCUACAGCAUAUUAUGAGCAUGUGGUAAAAGUAGUAAAAAGGCUUAAAACAUGUUGAAUAUAUUUGAAG